UGCUAUUCAAAAACAAAAAGGAAAAUUAUGUAGCAGCUUCCACAUUUUUAAAGACGUGGCAAAAUUUAAUUAAGGGCAAAUAUGUCCUUGCUAGAAGAGUCCAAUAAUGGGUAUAAUUCAGAAUGCAAAGUAAAGCACCAAGUGUGAUGAGUUAGGUAGUCUGUAACAGAAAAGCUCACUUAUUUUCUGGUAGGCAGGGGGCUCUUGGAGCUGAGAGAAAAGGAGAGUUGGAAAAUGGGAAUCUGGAUAGGUACAGUGUGCCACAGCAACAUGGUGGCAGGCCAGAGGCCAAGGCCAGAAAGUUCUAGUAAGCAGUUUCCCCUUGUUGGAGGGAACGGGGGGCGGGCGGUGGUGGUGGUGGAGGAACUGUGAGUAUAGUAUUCUCUUGUGUGCACU
rnacentral:lncRNA from 1 species